rnacentral:rRNA from 1 species
AUGAACGCUGGCGGCGUGCCUAAUACAUGCAAGUCGAGCGAACGGACGAGAAGCUUGCUUCUCUGAUGUUAGCGGCGGACGGGUGAGUAACACGUGGAUAACCUACCUAUAAGACUGGGAUAACUUCGGGAAACCGGAGCUAAUACCGGAUAAUAUUUUGAACCGCAUGGUUCAAAAGUGAAAGACGGUCUUGCUGUCACUUAUAGAUGGAUCCGCGCUGCAUUAGCUAGUUGGUAAGGUAACGGCUUACCAAGGCAACGAUGCAUAGCCGACCUGAGAGGGGGAUCGGCCACACUGGAACUGAGACACGGUCCAGACUCCUACGGGAGGCAGCAGUAGGGAAUCUUCCGCAAUGGGCGAAAGCCUGACGGAGCAACGCCGCGUGAGUGAUGAAGGUCUUCGGAUCGUAAAACUCUGUUAUUAGGGAAGAACAUAUGUGUAAGUAACUGUGCACAUCUUGACGGUACCUAAUCAGAAAGCCACGGCUAACUACGU